rnacentral:lncRNA from 1 species
CUGGCCACAGGCUGAGAGAGGAAGUGACUCCAAGGCUGAGAGCUGGGCUGCUGGAAUUUCACACAUAGGUAGUCCUGCCUCUGUCUUCAGCAUGCUCCUGGUCAGCCUUCUCCCAGAAUCACACCUCUGAGCAGGGGCCAAGGAAUGAGCCCAGGAAGUUGACCUUUGAAGCACUCUCCUGCUCUUGGGGCCAUGUCAUCAGGAAGAAACUCCAGGCUGAAAACACAACUGCAAGGCCAACAGGCAGGGGAGCAGCUUUCUCAGGACACCUGAGGUCCUGCCCCACCAGGCUCUGGUCUUUACACACCAUCUCUCACUGUCCUCUAGCCCCAACUGCACAUUGCCUUCCUCCUUCCUGAGCUCAUGCUUGCCCCUCCCUCGGCAUCUCCCUAGCCCCAGCCUGAAGGCUGACCUCCUCCAGAAAGCCUCUCCCUCACCACGAGGCCAGAAAGAGUCUGUCCUGUCUCUAGCUUCUGAGUUUCUUAGUCCCAACGACUGUCCCUGCUCCACUGACACCUUCCAUACACAGCUUUGUGAGCUGUGCGCAUCUGUGGGUACCAGAGGGUAAGUUCGAGGGCCAGCUGACGCCUACUGUCUCUACUGUCUCACAGAUCUGCAUUGGGUUUCCUUGGUCCCAAUCCCCCACAGACACACACACAUGUACACACUCACACACACAACGCUGGACCAAUAGAGAGAACUUUAUCAGUAAAAUGUAACUAUUUCAUUACACCAGAAGCUAUCCGUGUUUAAGGCCCUAUCCCCAAAGCAAGUAGAGAAUGACAAUUAUCUUGGUAAGGAACAAGGGCCUUCCCACUUCCAUCCCCUAAAUUACACUAAUUUCUGGCGUUUCCACCUUCUCUGAGCCAGUGCUUCCAUUUGGGAAAUAAAUAUGAAAUGAUUUAUCCAUUCAAAGUGACAGAUCACAGGUUUGUAGGUAGCAGGCAG